rnacentral:rRNA from 1 species
UCCGGUGGUCGUAGCGAGAGGGAAACACCUCUUCCCAUUCCGAACAGAGUCGUUAAGCCUCUCCGCGCCGAUGGUACUCCGAGUGAAGACUCGCGGGAGAGUAGGUCGCCGCCGGGA